UAAUCUAUCGUUAGGACCGACGCAUCCAUGACUAAUCAUCACCUUCAGAGGGGCCGGGUGAGUCCAGUUCGUUCUUCUUCGUCGGCGGCGUCGCUGUUGCCACCAUCGUCGUCGUUACGUCCGGGGAUGGGCGGACCGGCCGACUGCGUUUCGGCUGACCAUGGAUACCAUCGACGUGACGUGCGAAUUUUUCCAAGGGUUUCAAAUAGUGCGCUGUGUUUUAUGAAUCCUUCUGUACGGUUUUGUGGAUAUGUACUUAGUGUAUAUCGAGAGUUGAUUAUAGUUUUUGGUACUUUGUGGAGUAUCAACUAAGAGCCUUUUUACCAUCCUUGGAAGGGUAGAAAAGAAGCCAAGCCACAGCUACUCUACCGGUGGUCUGGGCCUCUGGACCCUCUGCUGGGGCCGUCGAGGCCAUCCUCUGUUUUCUUUCUUCACAGGACAAAUAAGGACUACCGGUCAGGAACGACCGAGAGACUUCCAGGAGCGAGGCGACACCGAGACGACUUCGAGCGAGCGGCAAAUCCGGUCCCUCUCCUACCGUCUCCGGCUUGCCGGCAGCGUGGAUAGACGGAGGGACUCACGCUGAUUGGCUAUACCUAGUUAUUAGGUCAGUAGCUGUUGAAUAAUGGUGUAUUCGGACUUCACCUUCUUCCCGUCGGGGCUACGACGCGUGGAGCUCGGUGCCAACCGGUCGCUGAGGUGCUAGUUGUCGCCUCUGCUCGGGGUGGAGGAGAAGGUCAUGGUGGCCUUGGGAGCAGGUGUUUCAACGCAGGGCGUUGUCCAGUAUCUGCGUAUGCAUUUGUUUUAUGAUGUAUGAGUAUUUGCAUGUGUAUGUGUAUAUGUUAGGGAUGUAUAUGUGUAUGUGGUUGGUUUACUAGAUCAUCAGUAUUCUACCAAUGAUGCUAGUGUCUAGUUUAGUUUGGAUCUCUGUGACAAGGUGUGAUCUUCUUAUCCGGUUCUCAGUUGUCUACGAGUUUAAUAAUGUCGGGUUCUUUUCUAGCUACCGAGGUUGUUUGAAACUUCGUUGGUCUCAAUGCAUCCCGAUUGCGGGAUGUUAUUUUUUAUGACUAUAAAAAAAACUAAUAGUGUUUAAUGGUCCCUACUUGUUGGUGCAGAUCUUAGAAAUAGUUCCUAUGACCUUGUUCAGUAACGAUGGAUCGGAGAUGAUGUUGAGAUAACGGUAUCAGAACCUAUGUUUUUUUGUGUUUUUUCUUCUUCUUUUAUAUUUCUACUGUGUAAUAUGUCCAUGUUUUUUAUCUAAUGAAAGUCACCCCUCUCUGACAAAAAGACAUAAGGACAAAGUACCAUUCUCUGCUUGUUCCCCUCUCUGAGGCUGUGACUGAACAAGUAGACACAACUACACGAAAAAGAAAUAUCUACAGCACAGCUACAAACCCGCCUUGUGAAGCACUACGCCCGAUUGAUGCCACAUGUCCCCCUAUCGAUCUCCAAGAACUUUCUUCGACUGAUUGCGAGUCAUUCUGAGCAACUGGUUCCAGGCGUCAUCGAGGGCGAGGCGCGGCUCCAGGCGACAGCGGAGGCGUCGGCUUCGUACAAAGCCGCUUCAGAGGAAUGCAGCAAACAAUAGAGAAGCUGGAGAAGAUCCAAAGCAAUUGAUUGUAAGAACUAGGAAUCAUUUGAUGCAAGUACCGGUGUUAAUAUCACAAUACCAAACUUUGCCGCAUUGUAUUCUUCAACCAUGAUCGCUCCUUUUAAUCCAAGGAAGAUAUACACAUUUUUUACUUGGAGUUGAUCAAGAUUCGACACUGUGGUCCGCUG